rnacentral:rRNA from 1 species
GUGAAUCAUCGAAUCUUUGAACGCACCUUGCGCUCCUUGGUAUUCCGAGGAGCAUGCCUGUUUGAGUGUCAUGAAAUCUUCAACCUAUAAGCUUUUGUGGUUUGUAGGCUUGGACUUGGAGGCUUGUCGGCCUUGAUCGGUCGGCUCCUCUUAAAUGCAUUAGCUUGAUUCCUUGCGGAUCGGCUCUCGGUGUGAUAAUAUCUACGCCGCGACCGUGAAGCGUUUGGCGAGCUUCUAACCGUCUCACUUGAGAGACAACUUUAUGACCUCUGACCUCAAAUCAGGUAGGACUACCCGCUGAACUUAA